rnacentral:rRNA from 1 species
AUGGCCCUGCACCCUGACCAUCGCCACGGCCCAUCAUUCUCGCGCUGCCGCAUCAUGCACUCACCACGCCGUGUGUGGCAUCCUCCCGACGAAGCGCCCCCGCUGUGUCGCGGGCUAAUUUUCCGGCGUCACCCUCCGCCUCCUCAGCGCACAGGCCGUUCACCUCCGCCACCCCAGGCCGUACACCACUGCGAAGAGAGCCUGUUCAACUACGUGAUAGAGAAUUUUUGUACCAGACAUAGUAUUAGUUCGAUGUGUAAUCUAUCAUCAGUCCAUGAAAAAUUACAGAAUAGUUGGUGUGUGUGCAGAAAUAUCGUCAGUGCAAGUUUCAAAACUCUGUAA